ACGAACGCUGGCGGCAGGCCUAACACAUGCAAGUCGAACGCCGUAGCAAUACGGAGUGGCAGACGGGUGAGUAACACGUGGGAACGUACCCUUCGGUUCGGGAUAACUCAGGGAAACUUGAGCUAAUACCGGAUACGUCCGAGAGGAGAAAGAUUUAUUGCCGAGGGAUCGGCCCGCGUCUGAUUAGCUUGUUGGUGAGGUAACGGCUCACCAAGGCGACGAUCAGUAGCUGGCUGAGAGGAUGAUCAGCCACAUUGGGACUGAGACACGGCCCAAACUCCUACGGGAGGCAGCAGUGGGGAAUAUUGGACAAUGGGCGCAAGCCUGAUCCAGCCAUGCCGCGUGAGUGAUGAAGGCCCUAGGGUUGUAAAGCUC
rnacentral:rRNA from 1 species